CCAUGUUGGAUCAUUGUACUCUCCUGUGUUCCUGGUGUUUUCUCAUCCCAGUGUUUUCAGUGUUUUCUUUUGAUCUCAGUUUCUUGGACAUUUAAGAGACGCAUGAAAGAAACCUCUGACGUGGACGCAUUUUCCCGCCCAUGGACGGUCGGCUCCUUUGAUGGGGGCAGACAGGGGAGCAACAGCUCGCUGUGGGAGAGUUUACAGACCAUUUCAGAUCUGUCAUGGGAGAUGAGCUGGAGACGUUCAUCAGGUAUGGAUGCUGCUCUGUGGGAGGAACAGAGCGCCGACUUACUGGUGUAAAACCGGUACUACUGUUAGUGGCGUAGGAAAAACCCAACAGCUUUACCAUGACACAGACUUCCUCUGUGGACUUUCAAAAUAAAACAUACAAUAAACAAACUUUGAGUUUCACAGGAACUACAAACCUAAGUCAAUUAUUUACACGUUUACACAUACACAUACAUAAAUACACUUUAUGCUCAAACUUUAAGACCUUCGUAGUCUUUGUGAAACUUCUGCCGUUCGAACACCGCUCCGUAUCGCAGGCAAGAACGCAUUUGCAGUGCUCGUAGUAACUGACUCCGAGGCACGUAAAGUCCACCCGUCACAGGUAAGUGAUACCCGAUGCAGACUCGAGUGCGUCCUUCAUCUUGUCUCUCGUCUCAGCCGGUCUCGGCAUCAAGCACUGCAAACGCCGACUGCCUUCUGCUCAAUAAACUGCUGUUCUCGUUCCCCUCAUUGAUGUGAUUAGCGCCACCGUUUGGAGUUAUGAAGCACUGACACGGUAAGUCAAAUUAGCAGGGUAAUCUACCCACUAAGCAGCAUUCAUUCAAUUAAUGAUGCUGUUUGCCACAAAUGGGAUAGAUUCUCCUGGUCACAAGUAAGUCAUGCUCUUAUUAAAGUAUCCAGAUCACGAGUGUAUUGGCUAUAGGGAAGUGAAAUGUGGUUUAGCCUUGUAGAUGUAUUGUUGCGCUGCAAGCUAGGGAUGUUCGUGUUUAGUUGACUCUAAGAUAAAAUGUUUUCGCCCUCACUAGUCGACACCAGAAUUACAAGUCUAAUGAUUUUAAUAUUUGUAUUACUUUGUGUCAGAAAUGCUGAUUUAUAUAUUGUGUCUGAGUUGUAAUGCAGUUAGCAGCCACUGUCCAGGGCUGUAACUCCGGUUAAUGGCUACUGCAGUAACACUAUAACGCUCUACUAACCAGACGUAAACAAGCACUGACGACAGACGGCAUCCUGUAAUGACGCAUGCACAAUUUUGAUCUAGAAAAUGAAGAUAAAGUCCCACUGGACUUAAAACGAUUCAGUACCACUCCACUCUUCAUCCUGACCCUAGGUCCUUGAUUUACAUGAUUCCAUGAUCGUCAAGUCAGCAGUCUUCUCUAUCAAGAGAUGUGCUGUAUCUAGAUGGUCUGAAUAGAUUUUUCUCAACCUCAUAAUAACUAAUGUUCAUGUUUCAUUUUUAUUUAAAGACAUUAUUCACAAUAUUUAAAUGCUAUCUAUCUAUCUAUCUAUCUAUCUAUCUAUCUAUCUAUCUAUCUAUCUAUCUAUCUAUCUAUCUAUCUAUCUAUCUCACAAAUCCACUAUCAUUGAAUGCAGGUGUGUGCCCUCCAUGAAUGGUGAUGUCUGGAUCCCUGUCAGUUAUUGACACCUCCAACAUGGCAGUCCCUCCAAAAGGUCAGACCGGACUGGCAGAGAACAUUUUCACAACACUACACUGUACAUGCUUGUGCACACACUAAAGGUAAACACUUGUAGUUCUGUUAGUGGUGAGUAUGUGUGCCCACAACAUUAACAAGCAACGGGACAAGCAGGAAUACACUUUCUUAAAAUCCAUCUCAUUCAAUCGAGCAUUCACCAAGGUGUCUGUGACGGCAGCAGCGUCGUGUGAAUGUUUACAUUUUACAGCCAUCAUACAGAUACAGACUCUGCAUGGACAGCAGUCAGUUCAAGUGAGGGGCUGCCUUAAAGUGAUAUAGUAGAUUUAUCCUGGAAAUUACGUGCUUCAAAAAAUGUACACAAACUACAGUCAUGAAGUUAAAACAUGAUUCAUUUUAUUAUGGAGAAAAUCAUUGUGAGAAUACAGAUUUUUUUUCACAUUUAAUUUAAUCUAUGAUUGAGAUAAAAUAGAAGUAUGAGACACUUAUAAAGGAAAAUGCUUUGAAACAACUUUUUUAGGGGGGGAGCUAAAGCAGUUGGGAUUGCAAAAAUGGUGAAAACAUUUUUUUGUAUAUUUAUGCUUUGGUGUAGUGUUGUAAUAAAAAAAUCAAGAACAUAUAAUUCAGAAACACUAUUGAUACACAUUUUUUACAAUAAGGUAAUCAUUUUGUAAUCAAAAUUGAGUUUGAUACAGAGCAACAUUAUCAGUCACUCAGUAGUACAAUCCACUAAUGACGGACAACAGAUGUAAAAGGUUUACAAGGUGUUGAUUCUACAAGCAUC